AUAUGGUCUUGAAACUUAAAAAAUUUGGCGGUAUUUUAGUCUAUUCAGAGGAACCUGUUCUAUAAUCGAUAAUCCACGAUGGACCUCACUUAAAUUUGUUACA
rnacentral:rRNA from 1 species